rnacentral:rRNA from 1 species
UUGACCUCAAAUCAGGUAGGAUUACCCGCUGAACUUAAGCAUAC